GAUGAACGCUGGCGGCGUGCCUAAUACAUGCAAGUCGAGCGAACGGACGAUAAGCUUGCUUCUCUGAUUUUAGCGGCGGACGGGUGAGUAACACGUGUAUAACCUACCUAUCAGACUGGUAUAACUUCGGGAAUCCGGAUCUAAUACCGGAUAAUAUUUUGAACCGCAUGGUUCAAAAGUGAAAGACGGUCUUUCUGUCACUUAUAGAUGGUUCCGCGCUGCAUUAGCUAGUUGGUAAGGUAACGGCUUACCAAGGCAACGAUGCAUAGCCGACCUGAGAGGGUGAUCGGCCACACGGGAACUGAGACACGGUCCAGACUCCUACGGGAGGCAGCAGUAGGGAAUCGUCCGCAAUGGGCGAAAGCCUGACGGAGCAACGCCGCGUGAGUGAUGAAGGUCUUCGGAUCGUAAAACUCUGUUAUUAGGGAAGAACAUAUGUGUAAGUAACUGUGCACAGCUUGACGGUACCUAAUCAGAAAGCCACGGCUAACUACGUG
rnacentral:rRNA from 1 species